rnacentral:misc_RNA from 1 species
GGAAGUAAAAGUCGUUACAAGGUUUCCGUAGGUGAACCUGCGGAAGGAUCAUUAUUGUAUAACCGAGGUGCGAGGGCUGUCGCUGACCCGAAAGGUCGUGCACGCCCGAGUGCCCUCACACACAUCCAUCUCACCCCUAUGUGCACCACCGCGUGGGUCCCCCUUUGGCUUGUUCGGAGGGGGGCUUACGUUUUCACACAAACUUUGUAUGCAGUGUAGAAUGUAUUUUUUGUUUUUGCGAUCACGCAAUCAAUACAACUUUCAACAACGGAUCUCUUGGCUCUC